CAGCCGCCACGGUAAUACAGAGGGUGCAAGCGUUAAUCGGAAUUACUGGGCGUAAAGCGCGCGUAGGUGGUUUGUUAAGUUGGAUGUGAAAUCCCCGGGCUCAACCUGGGAACUGCAUCCAAAACUGGCAGGCUAGAGUAGGGCAGAGGGUGGUGGAAUUUCCUGUGUAGCGGUGAAAUGCGUAGAUAUAGGAAGGAACACCAGUGGCGAAGGCGACCACCUGGGCUCAUACUGACACUGAGGUGCGAAAGCGUGGGGAGCAAACAGGAUUAGAUACCCCUGUAGUCCCUGUCUCUUAUAC
rnacentral:rRNA from 1 species